GGACUGAAAAUAUACAGGAACCAGAAAUAGGCAGAGGUUAAGAGAUGGCUCCUUGGCAUCCACACCUUGGUUUCCAUUGCAGUUUGGAAGCAGCCAAGGAGCCAAGAAGUCCAGUGUGGCUGUUCAUUGCUGUACUGGGUGUUUGGUGGUCUGACCUCCCUUUUCCCAACACUACUGACUUGUCUUUCAGGAUAAUUGUUUCUACCCCUAUAAAGUCUAAAUCCCUUCGAUUCCCAGAGGAUCCAAAACCACACACUGUACAGAUCACCGAGAUGAACUCAAAAUAUUCAGUCCCUGCAUUUUAUCUAGAAGGAUGAGUACAGGCACAUGCCUGUAUAAAGGACUUCUGGAUGAAGAAACUCAGGUUCAGGGAGUUGUUUCUAGAAGGUGAAUCACACUGGAGGCACUUGCUUAGGCAAGUCUAAACUCCACACCGUGAAUUUUAUCACAUCUGGGUGUGAUACUGAAACUAGGAACACUUGCAUGUGUCACUUUUCCCUGGCAGUACCUUCUCUCCCUAACACUCUGUUAACAAAGACCAAGGUCAUACCUGGCUGAAACUAUUCCUUUAUUAAAGGCAGCACAGAAACAAAGUUAAAUCUUGGGGAGAAACAAGUCCAUGCAGGCAGGAAUACCAGAAUGGAAAUACAAAUGCUAACUCAAACAUACUGUUGUAGGAUUUAACAGGCCAAACUCCUGGACUUGACACCUUCACCUGACACCUGCUGUGUGAGCACACUGCUGAAGACAGAAGGAAAACCCAACAAGUUACUAAUACUGGUCUGUAGCAGGAGUCAGGACUCUGCACAUCAGAGAGGAAAACCCACAGCCAAAAUGCAACUCUCAGAGCUGUGAAAUGCAAGUGGUUGUUUUAGUGGAGCAGCCAUGUUCAAAGAGCAUGAUCACCAGAAGAUGACAGUGAAGCAGGGCCCCAACACUUGAGGAGAAAGAUUAUCUUCAUGAUGCUGUGGCUUAGUCUUUAUUGCUCUGCAUUCAGCAUGCACUAGCAAGAAGCUGCAGCAUCUCCAGGAAAACAACAAAAUUUAAAUUCUCCAGAAAAGGCUGGGAACAACUUCUUACUAAAGGCCAAGACCCACACUUCAAAUGGAGGCAAUUUUGAGUAAAAGAAAUUAAGUAUUUCAGUAGUACAUCCAGUGAGAAAUAGGAACAGUAUAUUUCAAACUGUGCAUCUGGAAGUAAAAGCAAGAUAUGCAGAAGUAUGGAGUAUUUUAUACUGAAAACAUUCUUGUCAAAUAUUCCAAAGGCAAGCACUGUGUAUUCAGGGUCACCUUCUUGUUAAUAAGCAUUCAUGAUAAAAAAAUCAGGUUUUGUAGGAGUGAUAAUUUCCCAAUGAAACCAUCAUUAAUUACGGUGCACACUUUCAGUAACACUGUUCAACUCAAGACAAAGACGUG